rnacentral:rRNA from 1 species
AAGCUCGUAGUUGAAUUUCGGUGGCCCAACGGCGGUCGGCCGCAAGGUCUGUACUGCCGGUCUUCGGACCACCUCUUUCCGGGGGAACGUCGGCCCUUAACUGGGCACGGCGGCCGAACCAGGACGUUUACUUUGAAAAAACUAGAGUGUUUAAAGCAAGCGUACGCUUGAAUACAUUAGCAUGGAAUAAUGAAAUAGGGCUUCAGUUCUAUUUUGUUGGUUUUCAGAAUCCGAAGCAAUGAUUAAUAGGGAUAGUUGGGGGCGUCAAUAUUUGAUUGUCAGAGGUGAAAUUCUUGGAUUUAUGAAAGAUUAACUUCUGCGAAAGCAUUCGCCAAGGAUGUUUUCAUUAAUCAAGAACGAAAGUUAGGGGAUCGAAGACGAUCAGAUACCGUCGUAGUCUUAACCAUAAACUAUGCCGACUCGGGAUUCGAGGCUGUUGAAUUAUGACACCUUGAGCACCGUACGAGAAAUCAUUAAGUUUUU